UAUACUAAAAAAGUGGAUACAUUAGGGUUCAUUCAUUUCAAAACAUUUCAAAAUCACCCGCUUCCUGCUCCUCUCUCUCUGGCGAAUCCAGAUCUGGAUCUAGGGUUUUUCUCCAAGAAGAUCUAGCCGAUAAAGAAAUCUCAAUGCAUUCUCCAUUCAGAUCUAGCCUUUCACCGGAGAGUCGGAGACCCCAAUUGCAGCCACUACCGUCAUUCGCAACCACCACUACGACUCGCAACAACCACCACCAUGGAUGUUUGGCUACCAGAUAGUGAUUGUUGAUGGCUGCAGACAUGGUGGCGAAACGCGGUUUGCUGGAGCUCCAACAUGAAACGAUCUUGAUCUGUGAACCAUCUGGCUAGCCUUUAUGAGUUCUUAGUUUUUUUUUUUUUAUAAAUUCUUGUUGAUUAUUAGUUUUUACUAUAACAAACUUCAUGUAAUAAUGGGACUGGAUUUUGUUUACGUUACAAAACUGGUGUAGAAUCUGAGAAUUUGAAAUUACUGUAUGUGGAUUCUAGAAAGUCAAAUGUUGACUCUAUUUGGAAUUAAGUUUACAGGAUAUUCGUGGAAAUGAGGUGCCUUUGAGCUUUUACAAGAGGAAGGCUGUGUUAAUUGGUAAUGUUGCGUCACUCCAAAUGAACGACAUCACAUAGAAACCUGAGGAGUUCAUACAGGGUUUUGGCAAAGUUCUGGCAAGCUGCGGUGACCUGUUCUCAUCUUGCUUGUGACAUCUUUGUGUAGAUCGGCCACCCUAAGACCUCUAUAGCUGUUGAAGUAUGGAGGAACCAGCCAUUGCCGCUGAUAACGGACAAGAAGCCGCCCUUCCGUAUAUUUCAUGACAACUUCAUCAGGUAACCAGUAACCAAUUAGUUAGAAAUCUGUUGUGUUAUAGUUGUGUUAUCGGUGGUAAGAUUUGGUUAAUGAUUAGUAGUGUAAGUUGGUUUGACCUUAUAGAGGGUACAUUUAUCCAUUUAUUAUUAUUUUUGCUAACUCAUCACUGCACUAAUACUUGCAUUUUGAGCAAUCCCAGGACCAUAAAAGUAUGUUAUAGAAAUAGCUUGAAAAGUUAUUAGCUUGAAAAGAAACGGGUCAACUUGGCUUUUAGUCUUUGUGUUAAUGAAGUUUUGUGUAUUUUUCGUACCCAUUUCUUACAAAUCUGUGUUCUGACCCAUCUUUCUCGCUAUUGAUUCGGCUGUGAUGUUGGUGGUUGUGCUGUUGCCAGUAGUAAUGAAAAGAUAGGCUUUUUUAUGUUCGUGGUGAAAAGUACAGACUGUAUGUUUGUUGAUUAAUUUGGGAUUUGAAGCAUUAUCCGGCGAUGAUGGUGGCUUGCUACUUGGCGUGGCAUCUCUGUUUGCAGCCGUAGCGGCACUGAGCCAUGUUUACAGACUGUAUGUUCCUUUGUUGGAAUGUUAAUUUCAUCCGACAGAAAACUGGUCAUAAAAUAGGAAGUUGGUGAUGAACACCAGGUAACUUUUCGUCAAUUAUGUAUUCAUUUCAAAUUAAUGAUAUUGUGUUUUGUUCUUUCCGACAGUGCUUAUGUACCCGGGCGGCUUUCAAAGGUAUCCUUGGAGAAAUUUUGUGAAAGUUAGUCGUGCUCUUAGACAUUGCUCUAAUACAGGUAUACAUGUGAAAAUGGUCAAUGUGGGUCUUAGUUAUCGCUACCUGGUCAUUAAAUGACGAUAUAAAAGUCAGCCAUAACAUUUUUUUAAACUGCAAAUUUCAUUUUUUUACCUCUUGUGGGGGUCUUAAGUUCAACCAUUUUACCUAUGAAUGGGUCACUGUGGGUCGUCUUUUUAUCUCAAACCAUUUAAAUAGGUUAAACACAAUUAAUUUAAAUGGAGAAUGAGUUUUCAAAGCCUUUCAAAGUCUCUUAUUUACGCGUACAAAUUUCCCAAAAGGAGUUAUUCAAGAGUGUGUGCCGUUUGGAACAUGGGGAUGGAAAGAGUGUGUGCCGUUUGGAACAGUUGUUGGAGACCCAUACACAGAUCAAGAUCUAGAAACAAACUUACUUGAUCAAGGUAAUAUUAAUCAUUGCAGUCAUUGGCAUAGGAAUAUGGUAACUGUUGAGUUCACUAACUAUGAUAUUAAGUGAGCCCUUACUCAGAGGGAUCAAGAUCUACGGAUGUAGUUGCUACGCAUGAAAGUACGAAAAGGCGACGUGUGCCAGUAGGCCCCACAUACAAGGCAACAUAGAAGUAACAAGGUUCAUUCAGUUCCAAAAACAUAAGUUGACUUCUGAAAGUCAAACAAUUUUGGCAUUAAUGGAGGCUCAUCAACAUUUUAGUUAUAGAAAUGGCUUUCUCGAUACACGCGCAUAUGACAUCCAUUUUCUGCAACUGUUCACAGUACCAAACCAUAUUGGCCCGUCGGAGCGGAAACUAGCUACACAAGCGGCCCAGUCAAGCUAUCUUGAACCGCCUUCAUUUGGGUCGGCGGGUUCUGUGCUGGUAGUUGAACUGGCGAACCGGAUUGAUGGUUGGACUAGAUUUUCAAAGCCUUUUUAAUUUAUUUUAACGUAUUUUCUUUUCUAAAAUAGUAAAAUCUCAUCUACGAAUUCAUUUACAGCCUCUUUGUUUUGCUUAUUCUAAGCUCAUUUUUGUUAGCAUUGCAAAUAGGAAAAGAUAAAUCACUUUCGUAGUUUUUUUGUUACUUGUAUAUAAAUUUUAUAAUUUUUAAAUUAUUUUCACGUUCA